rnacentral:rRNA from 1 species
CCUACGGGUGGCUGCAGUGGGGAAUUUUGGACAAUGGGCGCAAGCCUGAUCCAGCUAUUCCGCGUGUGGGAUGAAGGCCCUCGGGGUGUAAACCACUGUUGUAGAGAACGAAAAGACACCUUUUAAUAAAGGGUGUUGCUGACGGUACUCUAAGCAUAAGCACCGGCUAACUACGUGCCAGCAGCCGCGGUAAGACGUAGGGUGCGAGAGUUAAUCGGAAUUACUGGGCGUAAAGGGUGCGCAGGCGGGUGAGUAAGACAGAUGUGAAAGCCGCGAGCUUAACUCGGGGAUUGCAUAUGUGACUGCUCGACUAGAGUGGGUGAGAGGUAGGUGGAAUUCCACGUGUAGCAGUGAAAUGCGUAGAUAUGAGGAAGAACACCGAUGGCGAAGGCAGCCUCCUGGGACAUAACUGACGCUCAGGCACGAAAGCGUGGGGAGCAAACAGGAUUAGAUACCCUUGUAGUC